GGUUCUCACUGAAACUCAAAAGACAUCGGGACCAAGCAGCAUUGCUGGGGCGUCCGGCACGGAACAGGGAACAGCAAGGAUGCCGCAGAUUUUGGAGGACUCCGCAGCAUGGGGAGCCUUCGGCAGCACUGGGCAGGGUGCUCCGAGGCCCCUGUGGGGCCAGGAGAAAGGACAGCCCAUGGAGGCAGCCAGACCCAGAGGGCCCAAGGUGUGUCCAGCUGACACCAUGGCACCUAAGGCAGGUGCAGGAUCCAGGCGAGGCGCAGAGAGCGCAAGACUGGCCUCCAGAGGCAGCAGCCAGAUGUAAACUCCGCUCAAUGAGAGAGAGAUGGGCCAUCAGUACCUUUCUUCUGACUGGCUCCGAGGAGGCUGGGCUUUCAUUUUAGGACGGACGACCUUCCAGAGAGCUCCGGGCCCAGUAAUAAGCAUUUGGGCUUCGUGAAGUGCAUCCUGGCUGGAAAGGACCCCAAGGACCCUGAGGAGACUCACCACAAGGAAAGGGGACAUCUGGACUGGUGAGCUCUGCU